CCUACGGGUGGCUGCAGUGGGGAAUAUUGGACAAUGGGGGCAACCCUGAUCCAGCCAUGCCGCGUGUGUGAAGAAGGCCCUCGGGUUGUAAAGCACUUUCAGUGAGGAAGAACGCCUGGUGGUUAAUACCCAUCAGGAAAGACAUCACUCACAGAAGAAGCACCGGCUAACUCCGUGCCAGCAGCCGCGGUAAUACGGAGGGUGCGAGCGUUAAUCGGAAUUACUGGGCGUAAAGCGCGCGUAGGUGGCUUGAUAAGCCGGUUGUGAAAGCCCCGGGCUCAACCUGGGAACGGCAUCCGGAACUGUCAAGCUAGAGGGCAGGAGAGGAAGGUAGAAUUCCCGGUGUAGCGGUGAAAUGCGUAGAGAUCGGGAGGAAUACCAGUGGCGAAGGCGGCCUUCUGGACUGACACUGACACUGAGGUGCGAAAGCGUGGUAGCAAACAGGAUUAGAUACCCUGGUAGUC
rnacentral:rRNA from 1 species